rnacentral:rRNA from 1 species
GACGAACGCUGGCGGCGUGCUUAACACAUGCAAGUCGAACGGUAAGGCCCUUCGGGUACGACGAGUGGCGAACGGGUGGAGUAACACGUGGGUGGAUCUGCCCUGCACUUCGGGAUAAGCCUGGGAAACUGGGUCUAAUACCGGAUAGGACUCCUGGCUUCAUGGUUGGGGGUGUAAAGCUUUUGCGGUGUGGGAUGGGCCCGCGGCCUAUCAGCUUGUUGGUGGGGAAUGGCCUACCAAGGCGACGACGGGUAGCCGGCCUGAGAGGGUGGACCGGCCACACUGGGACUGAGAUACGGCCCAGACUCCUACGGGAGGCAGCAGUGGGGAAUAUUGCACAAUGGGCGCAAGCCUGAUGCAGCGACGCCGCGUGAGGGAUGACGGCC